AAAACUCAAAGUAAUUCAUGGGUUAGUUGAGGAACAACUUCAGUCUGGUAAUAUAGAACCAACACUUAGUCCUUGGAACACCCUCAUUUUUGUUAUUAAGAAAAAGUCAGGUAGUUGGAGAUUACUACAGUAUUUAAGGGCAACAAAUCAUGCAAUUCAGCCUAUGGGAUCAUUACAGCCAGGACUUCCUUCCCCCACAGCCAUCGCUUUAAACUAGAGCUUGAUGAUAAUAGAUUUAAAAUAUUGUUUUUUUCUCUAUAAGGUUACAUCCUGGAGAUUGUGAAAAAUUUGCCUUCAC
rnacentral:sRNA from 1 species